AUGCAUGAAAGUACUCGUACUGUGUCACCACCACAACCGAAGCGGUGGCUUCCUCCUCCGAGUGGCAUCGCGAAGAUUAACGUGGAUGGAGCAGUAGUGAGAUCCCGGCGAGGUGGGGCAGUUGCAGCUCUAUGCCGCGACUAGGACGGACACUACCUAGGGUCAUCGGCGGUGGUUUACUAUGGAAUCGCUGAUCCUUUAACUUUGGAGACGUUUGCAUGCCGCGAAUCCCUUGCUUUGGCUGACGACCUGGGUGAGCAGAAGGUGCGCGUGGCCUCGGACUGCGAAGAGGCGGUGAACGACAUCAACAGGGGUACUGGAGGCCCUAAUGCCGCUUUGGUGCAUGAAAUAACGAAUCACUGUAAUAGCUUUAUUUCUUGCUCUUUUGUUUUUUGUUUUCGAGCGUAG
rnacentral:rRNA from 1 species